AAAAAUUUAGUUAAUAUAUAAUAACCCUAACUUGUCAAGUUAGAAUAACCCGCCGGUAAUUUUUA
rnacentral:tRNA from 1 species